CCUGUAAAAAUUUAUAAUAAAACAUCUGAAAUAUGUGCCGUCAUCUUUUCUGCUACUGAAAUCUUAUCAUCUAAUGAAAAUUUUAAAUAUCUCUUGUAAGCAUCGCUUUUCCAAUCUCCGUACAAUUGAAUUAAUUCAGUAGGUACUUCGGCUGCAAAAGCCCAGCUAGCCCCCCCUCGCCUAAAACUAUGUGUAGAAUAUGAACAAGCAUCUAAACCAAUCUCAGUAAUUAAC
rnacentral:lncRNA from 1 species